rnacentral:rRNA from 1 species
UAGGGAAUCUUCGGCAAUGGGGGGAACCCUGACCGAGCAACGCCGCGUGAGUGAAGAAGGUUUUCGGAUCGUAAAGCUCUGUUGUUAAGGAAGAACGAGUGUGAGAAUGGAAAGUUCAUGCUGUGACGGUACUUAACCAGAAAGGGACGGCUAACUACGUGCCAGCAGCCGCGGUAAUACGUAGGUCCCGAGCGUUGUCCGGAUUUAUUGGGCGUAAAGCGAGCGCAGGCGGUUAGAAAAGUCUGAAGUGAAAGGCAGUGGCUCAACCAUUGUAGGCUUUGGAAACUGUUUAACUUGAGUGCAGAAGGGGAGAGUGGAAUUCCAUGUGUAGCGGUGAAAUGCGUAGCUAUAUGGAGGAACACCGGUGGCGAAAGCGGCUCUCUGGUCUGUAACUGACGCUGAGGCUCGAAAGCGUGGGUAGCAAACAGG